rnacentral:rRNA from 1 species
CAAGCCGGAGGAAGGUGGGGAUGACGUCAAAUCAUCAUGCCCCUUAUGACCUGGGCUACACACGUGCUACAAUGGAUAGUACAAAUGGUCGCGAAGCCGCGAGGUGGAGCUAAUCCCAUAAAACUAUUCUCAGUUCGGAUUGUAGGCUGCAACUCGCCUACAUGAAGCCGGAAUCGCUAGUAAUCGUGGAUCAGCAUGCCACGGUGAAUACGUUCCCGGGCCUUGUACACACCGCCCGUCACACCACGAGAGUUUGUAACACCCGAAGUCGGUAGGGUAACCUUUAUGGAGCCAGCCGCCGAAGGUGGGACAGAUAAUUGGGGUGAAGUCGUAACAAGGUAGCCGUAUCGGAAGGUGCGGCUGGAUCACCUCCUUUCUAAGGAA